rnacentral:misc_RNA from 1 species
AAGACUAUAGACCUGCGGAGUACCUGCGGAGGGAUCAUUAGAGAAAGCUCGCCCCGCCCCCCGGGGCGGCGCCUCCUCGAUUCACACACCCGUGCACCCUCGCCGGGCUGGCCCCUCGCCGCCCGUCCCAUCGAUAAGCACCCUCCGAUGCGUCCCGGAACGUCGAACGAUAGAACGAAUACAACUUUCAACAAUGGAUCUCU